AUCUCCUUCCUUCCUUCCUUCCUUCCUUCCUUCCUUCCUUCCUUCCUUCCUUCCUUCCUUCCUUCCUUCCUUCCUUCCCUCCUUCCCUCCUUCCCUCCUUCCCUCCUUCCCUAUCCCAGACUCAGAGAUCUGCCUGCCUGCUCCAUUUUGAUAUUUUUUUAAUUGAUAUGUAAUGUCUAGGGUUCCCUGACCACCCUGGCGAACAGGACAGGACAGAGGCGAGAAUCAAAGGCACGGCCAGAAAGAGGAGUUUGAGGCGAGGGACUGCUAUGCCCCAGCACAGCUGGACUGACUGCCCUCCUUCUCGAGGCGGGAAUCAAUCACACAUACAAACAAAA